ACAUAAAUUGCUAUUCCGGAUCACGAAGGAAAGAGCUACUUUUCUCUUGAAUGGAGCACAAAGAAAAGAGGAAGAAAAAGUGAGAGAGAAUGGCAAAGCAGCUACCGGAGAGUUCUUCAGGAGGAGGGACUAGUGGAGGAAGCAUCCUAGACUUAGCGAUAAGCUCCACCAUGCCCUUCCCGAUCUUGGCCCUCGGAGUCGCCACCUUCGAUGUCUACCUGGUCGGCUAGCAAGUCUACAACAAACUCCAUGCUCCUUCCUGCUUCUCUGCUUCUUCUUCUUCUCACCACUUUUCCCAUUCCUCUACUUCUCAUUCAGACAACUAAAUCAACAACCUCAUCCAAUUUUCAUUUUGUUUUCUAGAUUUUAUUUAUUUAUUUGUUUUUUGGUUUCUUUCCCAUUUGGAUCCUAAAUGGAAUUAGAAGCGGUUAUUAAAAUUUUCCUUUUCCCACAUUUUCUCAGCAAAUAAGUGUACCAUUUAAAAGAUCAAAUUCAUCAGCACCGUCGCCGAUUUAUGGUGCACGCUCUGAAUUCGAAUCUGCGAGACUGAAAAUGAUGCUGAAUCUGGUAAAAUCUCUCACUGAGCAAUGAGUUACAGAAGGUUGCAAAGUAUUUUGAUGCUACCAUUGCAAAGGGAGCAGAUGUGAAAUCGGCUGCCAACUGGAUUAUGGGUGAUAUUGCUGCCUAUAUGAAAAAUGAAAAGUUGACUAUUGAUGAGAUUAAGGUGACGCCUCAGGUUGGCUGAGUUGAUAGCUUCAAUACAAGCUGGUAUUAUUAGUGGGAAAAUUGGAAAAGAGAUAUUGUUUACGCUAUUGGUCAAAGGUGGAACUGUCAAGGGACUCAUAGAAGAAAAGGAUUUGGUUCAGGCAAG